CAGUCGCCACGGUAAUGCGUAGGUGGCAAGCGUUGUCCGGAAUUAUUGGGCGUAAAGGGCUCGCAGGCGGUUUCUUAAGUCUGAUGUGAAAGCCCCCGGCUCAACCGGGGAGGGUCAUUGGAAACUGGGAAACUUGAGUGCAGAAGAGGAGAGUGGAAUUCCACGUGUAGCGGUGAAAUGCGUAGAGAUGUGGAGGAACACCAGUGGCGAAGGCGACUCUCUGGUCUGUAACUGACGCUGAGGAGCGGAAGCGUGGGGAGCGAACAGGAUUAGAUACCCCGGUAGUCCCUGUCUCUUAUAC
rnacentral:rRNA from 1 species